rnacentral:lncRNA from 1 species
CCACCACUCUCUUGAAUCUUCAAUUCCUUAUUUAUUUCCAAGGAAAAUUAUUUUUAUUUGAAUUGGUAAGAAACCAACUGCUGAUUAAAGCACUUUCAAAUCUUCAAUUCUAUUUUAGACGCAACAAUUUGAUCUGUAACCUUACCAGUAAAUUAGAAAUGGUCGUCCUUCUUCUCUUGUUUCUAUUAGCCCCUUGUGCAACCUCAUUAGACUUCAGUUUCCCCAGCUUCCCAAGUGGCAUCAACACCCUAUCUCUCGAGGGAGAUGCUUCCCUCGAUGGUUUCCUCCGACUCACCAAAAGCGCUGUUGACCAGGUGCUAGACCAAAGCGUCGGCCGAGCCACCUACAGCAAACCAUUCCUCCUCCGCGACGACGCCACGGGAAAACUCGCGGACUUCACCACAACUUUCACAUUCGCCAUCGACUCGCUAGGCGAAACAUUCUAUGCAGACGGGCUCGCCUUCUUUUUGGCGCCAAACGGGUCUGCACUCAACACAACAAUAGGCAGAGGCGGCUCU